rnacentral:rRNA from 1 species
ACUGAACGCUGGCGGCAUGCUUUACACAUGCAAGUCGAACGGUAACAGGGUGCUUGCACCGCUGACGAGUGGCGAACGGGUGAGUAAUACAUCGGAAUGUACCCAGUAAUGGGGGAUAACGCUUCGAAAGGAGUGCUAAUACCGCAUACGCCCUGAGGGGGAAAGUGGGGGACCGCAAGGCCGCACGGUAUUGGAGCAGCCGAUGGCUGAUUAGCUAGUUGGUGAGGUAAAGGCUCACCAAGGCGACGAUCAGUAGCGGGUCUUAGAGGACGCUCCGCCACCCGGGAACUGAGACACGGUCCAGACUCCUACGGGGUGCAGCAGUGGGGAAUCUUGGACAAUGGUCGAAAGCCUGAUCCAGCAAUGCCGCGUGCGUGAAGAAGGCCUUCGGGUUGUAAAGCGCUUUUGUCUGGGAGCAAAUCCUGGCCUCUAAUACAGGUCGGGGAUGAGAGUACCAGAAGAAUAAGGACCGGCUAACUACGUGCCAGCCGCCGCGGUAA